rnacentral:rRNA from 1 species
GACGAACGCUGGCGGCGUGCUUAACACAUGCAAGUCGAACGGAAAGGCCCUGCUUUUGUGUGGUGCUCGAGUGGCGAACGGGUGAGUAACACGUGAGUAACCUGCGCUUGACUUUGGGAUAACUUCAGGAAACUGGGGCUAAUACCUGAUAGGAGCUCCUGCUGCAUGGUGGGGUUUGGAAAGUUUCGGCGGUUGUGGAUGGACUCGCGGCUUAUCAGCUUGUUGGUGGGGUAGUGGCUUACCAAGGCUUUGAAGGGUCGCCGGCCUGAGAGGGUGGACGGCGACAUUGGGACUGAGGUACGGACCAGACGGCUACGGGAGGCAGCAGGGGGGAAUAUUGCACAAUGGGCGGGAGCCUGAUGCAGAAGCGCCGCGUGCGGGAUGACGGCCUUCGGGUUGUAAACCGCUUUAGCCUGUGACGAAGCGUGAGUGACGGUAAUGGGUAAAGAAGCACCGGCUAACUACGUG